ACGAUACUCUGGAGAGACCCGUUGAAUCGGGCGCCGAAGGAGCAAGGUUGUCACCCUGACAGCCGGAAACUCUCAGGCAAAAGGACAGAGGGGA
rnacentral:ncRNA from 1 species